UCAGCCUCUUUCACCACCAUGGACUACUGCUCCCCGUUGAUGCUCUACCUCCCUGUACCACAGUCUGGAAAGUUCCUCCAGGCAGAACCAUGGUUGAGUCUGGGGUUCAUUUAAUGCAUUUCCUUCUUCCUAGGAUGACAGUCUUCUGCUUUAUGUUGUCCAACUUCUUAAAGUGUCCUCUUGCAUAUUUUAUUCUAUUUUAAGACUGUUCUCUGUGGCAAGGAGUGGGUGAAUGGCAUUUGGAAAAUGACUCAUAUGUAUAACAGACGCAGCAGAAAAACAGACAUGAAGCAUUUAGGGAACAAAAUUACAACUUCUUAGUCUUUCCAAGAACUGAGAGGAGACAUUGAAGAGACAGGAAGGCAAGCAAUAUUGGCUACCUACACUUGCUGGAUCAACACACACCAUGUGGAGCCCAUGAGCACACGAAUCUCCCAAACAAAAAAGUGGGCAGGAAAAAUCUAUGAGAAGGACUUUACUGGUUUCACUUCAUCUGAAUGGGUGGAUGGGUGGGGGGAAUGUUCUCUCUGAUUGUUAAAAUAAAUGGGUUGUCACCAUUAUA